UACAGAAAAUGACUGAGCGGCGAACGGGUGAGUAACGCGUGAGCAAUCUACCUUAGUUACAGGUAUAGCCCGAGGAAACUCGGAUUAAUACCUGAUAUUCUUUAUAUUUCGCAUGAAAUUAAAAGGAAAGGUCAGCCGAACUAAGAUGAGCUCGCGUUCUAUCAGCUAGUUGGUGAGGUAAAAGCUCACCAAGGCUACGACGGAUAGCUGGUCUGAGAGGACGAUCAGCCACACUGGGACUGAGACACGGCCCAGACUCCUACGGGAGGCUGCAGCAGGGAAUAUUGCGCAAUGAGCGAAAGCUUGACGCAGCGACACCGCGUGUGGGAUGACGGAUCUAGGUUUGUAAACCACUUUCAGGAGGGAAGAAAAUGACGGUACCUCCACAAGAAGCCCCGGCCAACUACGUGCCAGCAGCCGCGGUAAUACGUAGGGGGCGAGCGUUGUCCGGAUUUAUUGGGCGUAAAGAGCUCGUAGGCGGUUCAACAAGUCGGUCGUGAAAGUUCAGGGCUCAACCCUGAAAUGUCGAUCGAUACUGUUGUGACUAGGAUACGGUAGAGGUGAGUGGAAUCCGAGUGUACGGUGAAAGCGUAGAUAUCGGAGAC
rnacentral:rRNA from 1 species